CCAUGCCGCGUGUGUGAAGAAGGUCUUCGGAUUGUAAAGCACUUUAUGUUGGGAGGAAGGGCAGUAAGUUAAUACCUUGCUGUUUUGACGUUACCAACAGAAUAAGCACCGGCUAACUUCGUGCCAGCAGCCGCGGUAAUACGAAGGGUGCAAGCGUUAAUCGGAAUAACUGGGAGUAAAGCGCUCGUAGGUGGUUCAGCAAGUUGGAGGUGAAAUCCCCGGGCUCAACCUGGGAACUGCAUCCAAAACUACUGGGCUAAAGUAUGGUAGAGGGUGGUGGUAUUUCGGCGACCACCUGGACUAUACUGACACUGAGGUGCGAAAGCGUGGGGAGCAAACCGGAUUAGAUACCCUGGUAGUCCACGCCGUAAACGAUGUCGACCAUCCGUUGGGAUCCUUGAGAUCUUAGUGGCGCAGCUAACGCGAUAAGUCGACCGCCUGGGGAGUACGGCCGCAAGGUUAAAACUCAAAUGAAUUGACGGGGGCCCGCACAAGCGGUGGAGCAUGUGGUUUAAUUCGAAGCAACGCGAAGAACCUUUCUU
rnacentral:rRNA from 1 species